AGCCCUGUGGUGUAAUUGGCAACAUCCCGCCCUUUGAAGGCGAAGAUUCCAGAUUCGACCCUUGGCAGGGCUGCCA
rnacentral:tRNA from 1 species